UACGGAGGGAGCUAGCGUUGUUCGGAAUUACUGGGCGUAAAGCGCGCGUAGGCGGCUUUGUAAGUUAGAGGUGAAAGCCCGGAGCUCAACUCCGGAACUGCCUUUAAGACUGCAUCGCUUGAAUCCAGGAGAGGUGAGUGGAAUUCCGAGUGUAGAGGUGAAAUUCGUAGAUAUUCGGAAGAACACCAGUGGCGAAGGGCGGCACACUGGACUGGUAUUGACGCUGAGGUGCGAAAGCGUGGG
rnacentral:rRNA from 1 species